rnacentral:rRNA from 1 species
AUUGAACGCUGGCGGAAUGCUUUACACAUGCAAGUCGAACGGCAGCACGGACUUCGGUCUGGUGGCGAGUGGCGAACGGGUGAGUAAUGUAUCGGAACGUGCCCAGUCGUGGGGGAUAACGUAGUGAAAAUUACGCUAAUACCGCAUACGAUCUAUGGAUGAAAGCGGGGGAUCGCAAGACCUCGCGCGAUUGGAGCGGCCGAUAUCAGAUUAGGUAGUUGGUGGGGGAAAGGCCCACCAAGCCAACGAUCUGUAGCUGGUCUGAGAGGACGACCCGCCACACCUGGAAUGGGAAACGGUCCAGACUGCUACAGGAGGGAGGAGUGGGGGAAUUUGGACAAUGGGCGAAAGCCUGAUCCAGCCAUUCCGCGUGCAGGAUGAAGGCCCUCGGGUUGUAAACUGCUUUUGUACAGAACGAAAAGGUUUCUACUAAUACUAGGAGCUCAUGACGGUACUGUAAGAAUAAGCACCGGCUAACUACGUGCCAGCCGCCGCGGUAA